GAUGAACGCUGGCGGCGUGCCUAAUACAUGCAAGUCGAGCGAACGGACGAGAAGCUUGCUUCUCUGAUGUUAGCGGCGGACGGGUGAGUAACACGUGGAUAACCUACCUAUAAGACUGGGAUAACUUCGGGAAACCGGAGCUAAUACCGGAUAAUAUUUUGAACCGCAUGGUUCAAAAGUGAAAGACGGUCUUGCUGUCACUUAUAGAUGGAUCCGCGCUGCAUUAGCUAGUUGGUAAGGUAACGGCUUACCAAGGCAACGAUGCAUAGCCGACCUGAGAGGGUGAUCGGCCACACUCGAACUGAGACACGGUCCAGACUCCUACGGGAGGCAGCAGUAGGGAAUCUUCCGCAAAGGGCGAAAGCCUGACGGAGCAACGCCGCGUGAGUGAUGAAGGUCUUCGGAUCGUAAAACUCUGUUAUUAGGGAAGAACAUAUGUGUAAGUAACUGUGCACAUCUUGACGGUACCUAAUCAGAAAGCCACGGCUAACUACGUG
rnacentral:rRNA from 1 species